UACGUAGGUGGCAAGCGUUAUCCGGAAUUAUUGGGCGUAAAGAGCGCGCAGGCGGUCGUUCAAGUCGCGUGUGAAAGCCCCCGGCUCAACUGGGGAGGGUCACGCGAUACUGAUCGACUCGAAGGCAGGAGAGGGAAGUGGAAUUCCCGGUGUAGUGGUGAAAUGCGUAGAGAUCCGGAGGAACACCAGUGGCGAAGGCGACACGCUGGGCCAUACCUGACGCUAAAGCGCGACAGCAUGGGGAGCAAACGGG
rnacentral:rRNA from 1 species